rnacentral:rRNA from 1 species
CCCUUAGAUGUUCUGGGCCGCACGCGCGCUACACUGACGGAGUCAACGAGUUGUCCUGCAUCGGAAGGUGUGGGUAAUCUUUUGAAACUUCGUCGUGCUGGGGAUAGAUCUUUGCAAUUUUCGAUCUUGAACGAGGAAUUCCUAGUAAGCGUGAUUCAUCAGAUCGCGUUGAUUACGUCCCUGCCCUUUGUACACACCGCCCGUCGCACCUACCGAUUGAAUGGUCCGGUGAAAUCUCGGGACGGCGGCUUGGUCGCUUGCGUCCGACUGCUGAAACUUGAUUAAACCAUAUCAUUUAGAGGAAGGUGAAGUCGUAACA